GACCAGGACCGCGUCCCUCUUGUAACGGGCGACGGCAGCCGAGAUCCGCGGCGGCGGCGGCGCCCAGCCUCUGCCUCGCCGCCGCGGAGAGCCGGGGCAGAGAGGGGUCGGGGAUGUUAGGAAUGCGGGCGAGCACCGCGGUAGCAUCUCUAUCGCGGAUGGGCACGGAGCCACGGACGCGCACCUCUACGGCGACCCGAACGACGCCGCCAUCCCGACGCUCCUCCGCUCCCGCUUCCACGGCGACAAGUUCGACGCGCUCAACCACCUCCUCGCCCUCAUCUCUCAGGGCGUCGACGUCGCCCACCUCUCCCCGCAGGCAAUCAAGAACGUGGUGGCGCAGUCGCUUGAGCUGAAGAAGCUCGUCUCUUCUACAGCUCUACCUGCUCCACUACGCCGGGAGGUGCACCUUCAAAGAUCAUCUUCAAAAGUAUAAGCACACCGAAGAGAGUGCAGACUGCACCGAAAAGAACCUUGCAGUAUCCCAGGCUCUUGCGUCAAAAGUGCUCAGCAACGCCAAUGUCCACCUAGUUUUAAUGGAUAUGCUGGUGGCCUUUGGCAUCGAUGACGCCCCCGGCAUAUGCAGGCGACUCAGGAGCGAGACUCUGAGCACUUCAAAGCCCUGCCUGAUCACCAUCGUCGUGAAAGGGCAUACCUCGGAACCACUGGAUCUCACUGCCAAGGUGAAUUCCGAAGAUACGGUGCUUGCCCUAAACCUCCUGAACAGAGUCCGUAGAGAUCAUAGAGUGAAGGGCCACUUUCAAGUUCUGCACCUAUGGUUUCAAAUGCGCUGAGGGCUUGGAGUAACACGACACAUUCUCGUACAUUCUCACUGCAGAUAGGAUUAACAUGAGAGAUGAAACAACUCAGAAUCUGAAGAGCAAUGGAAGUCGAAUCAGCAACUAGCUGCGGCCUGUAGCUUGUUCACCACCAUCAGACAAUCUGAAACCAGAAUCAUCACUUCGCUGGUAGCCUUCUGACAGAGCAAAAUGCAGACCUUGGUCAAAUCGCUAUUGCUUCAGCCAGUGAGCCAGGACAUCACCACCCCCACGCCAUCAUUUGAUCAUCAAUGAAACACUGCAUCAUCAGCAUUACAGGUAACCAUCUUAACACUGACGGUGAUGGCACUCACACCUAGAGGUAGACACCGCGGAAAUAAGACGCUGUUGGAUAAUAUCAAUAUAAGCCCCCUGAUCUUAUGCACAGCCCUUCACGGAACAGGAUCGCCUUUGCUGUUCCGAGCCUCAUUGCAUGCGUCCCAUGGAAACCGACACGUAACAGCAAUAGCAGUGGAUGUUUCUUCUUUUUUACUAGAGUUGUUUUGACAGUAACAUGCUUUCGAUUAUGAGGCAAAUGAAUGGUUCAAGUCACUAUAUGUUGCGGUUCCAGGAUACUUUGAGCGCUUCGAAGCAUUGGUUUGUAGAUAUAUUACGGUUAGGCAUUCAAAUGUACCAGAUUAAGCAAGGGAAAAAUCUAUCUUGCUCCCAGGAAAAGUGUUUCGUAGAAAUGCAGCGGUUAUGGGCAUUUCAGAUUCAUGAUUUGAUCUUCAGCACAAACUGAAAGGAAUGGUUCCUUGAGAAGUUGGAACAAGUAAUUGCAGUCUUUCUUGUGUCCUGAAGAUGGUAAGCAGUUGCACUGUUGACUCAGCUAUCAUUUUUGUUUCUCUGGAGUAUCGAUCAUAUAUAUCCGGGGACCUGACGUCGCGGGCACAUCACCUUUACCUGAUGAUCUGAGAUGCCAAUUGUGCCAAGCCUAAGUGUGAAGAAUCUGCAAGACUGCAACGGUUCACUACCGCCAGCGUCGAGCGGACCCGGAGGAACUCGGCGUUGAAUGGCGGCAGAGCUCACCCCAGCAGUGGAGCUUGAUCCCAGAUCCAUGGAAGCAAGCAAAUCUUCACGGAUGUAUGCCAUCCGUUUGCAGCAAUCUAAGCUCGGGUGGAACUUGGGGGAGCAGAUACAUCAUGUUAUACGUGACCUGAGCGGUGGCUCCUGCUGCUAGAUGGUGAUAUUACGUAGUGGCAUGAGAUUACUGGAGGAGGCGAUAAAUUUCAGACGUAAAUGAACAGGCGCCAGAUUUGAGUAACCAGAAUGUUGGAUCAUGGUGAUGCUUCUUGUCACUUUAUAUCAUGACUAGAGUUGCUCUGACACCAUGUGCACUGAAUCUCAGAAUUAUGCAGCAGCCGCAGCAGUUGUGUGCAUGUCAAACUAGUGGUUUGAUUUGAUUUGCAGCAAAGACUGAAGGGAAUGGGUGAGGAACUGUGGAAUAAAUAAAUUUUGCCAAGAAUUGUCAGUUUUUGAUGUGUUUCUGUGGAUCAUCGGCUGUAUAUAGAGUUUGGGAGACCUGACAUCGCCCAGUGUGCCAAGCUUGAAAGCAACAUUCGUCUGAGCGAGCGAGAUCUGUAUACUGUGUGGUGAUGCAGUCAGAGUCAGGUCACCAACGGCGGCGAGUGUGAACAUUUGCCUCUGUGAGCAAGCAAAGUGAGAUCCGUGUGUUGAGUCAGGAGACAGGGACCGUCCUGCUCUGACUGCUACUGCUGCUGCACUGGUGUUGUUUCUUGUCACUCCUUGGAUGUAUCCGUCGGCGGAGGCGACUGAUCAUCCAUUCACGCAUGGCUCCGCCUCCUCCUGUGUGGACACGGUGGACUAGUGAGCAGCAUCUUGUUGGCAUCGCACUAGUGCGUACUGCUCGGAGAAAAGAAAAUCAAACACAACAGGACUGGUUUCGAAUGAGCCGAGGGCUUGGAGUAACACAACGGAUUCCUGUACAUUCUGAGUGCAGAUACGAUUAGCAUGAGGAAAAACAACUCUGUAUCUGAAGAGAAAUGGAAAUUGAAUCAGCAACUAGCUGCAGCCUGUAGCUUGUUCACCAGCCAAAAUCACUACUCGUCGGUAGCCUUCCGACAGAGCAAAUUGCAGACCUUGGUGAAACCGAUAUUGCUUCAGCCAGUUCUGGGAUGGUGACACCUUGAAGAGUGUGGUGAAAGCGAACCAGGACAUCACCACCCCCACGCCCAUCAUCAAGGUGGUGAUGUAACACUGCAGCAUCAAUCAACAUUACUAGUAACCAUCUUUGGCACUGACGAUGAUGGCUCACACCUAGAGGUAGGUAACAGCCAUAGCACCGGAUGUUUCUUCUUUUUGACAAGAGUUGUUUCCACAUUAACUUGGAUUAUGAGGUAAUCAGUUGUUUAAACUCACUAUAUCUUGCGGAUACUUUGAGCGCCUCUCAAAGCAUUGGUUUGUAGAUAUAUUACUGUUGGUCAUGCAAAUGCACUAAAAAACCUGUGUUGCUGCCUCCCCUGUAAAGAAAUAUAAAGGCGUUUCGAUCACUGGCAGCAAUUGUGUGCAUGUCAAACUACUAGUGAUCUGCUCUGCUCUGCAGCAAAGACUGAAAAGAAUAGUUCCUUGAGAAUUUGGAAUUAGUAAUUGUGAUAACCAAGAAUUAUAUGUA